rnacentral:tRNA from 1 species
GCCUGGCUGGCUUAGUCGGUAAAGCGUGUGACUUUCGAUCUCGUCAUGAGUUCAAGCCCCAUGUUGGGUG